rnacentral:lncRNA from 1 species
AAUUAACACACAAGUUUUAUUUCCAGUUCAAGGAUCAUAUUCCUUACUGUGAAGUGUCAAUCAGGAUUAAACAUAUAAGACUUCUUGUGUGGUCUGGACAUUCAUCUCUAAAAAUUCAUUGGUUUAAAAAAAACAUUUACUCAAGGGGUGCCUUGGUGACUCAGUUGGUUAAGCAUCUGACUCUUGGUUUUGGCUCAGGCCAUGAUCUCAGGGUGUGAGAUCAAGCCCUGCGUUGGGCACCACGCUCCGCAUGGAGUCUGCUUGAGAUUUUCCCUCUCCCUUUCACUCAGACCUUCCCCUCUCUGAAAUAAAAUCUUAAAAAAAAUGUACUCAAGACAGUACCCACUAAACAUGCACCCGAGUCAUGAGCUUCUUGGGCUUUUGUAGUCAUUAAACCAAUCACAGAAAUAUAUGAAAAAAUUACUAAAAAAAGCAAAUUCAGAAUUUUUAAUUUGUUGAGGCAUAUAAAACAUGGAAAAUUGAUUUUGUAGGGACCUAAAAAAGAUAUCUGAGGUCAACUUGUCAUCAUGGCUCAGAACUCAAAUCAUUCUCAAAACUCAAGAGAUAUAGCACACAAAUCUUUAAUUUCUAGAGUACACAUUGUUUCCGUUAGAUUUUAAAAAGAUCACAAAACCAAAACACCAAAGCUCUUUUUAUCUAAUGCCAAGCCUAUAAAUUGUUAACAUUGUUUAUUAAGAAUUCACAGUAAUUGUCUUGCAGUUUGCAGAUGCCAAGAAGUCAUGGCAAUAAAAUUGUAGAAUAGCAUUACAUAGAUUUAAAAAAAAAAGGUAAAGUGCUUUGAAAAAAAUUAUUAUAGUAUAAAUUACAUUUUAAAUCAGAAUGACUGACAAGCUUACAUGGAACAUCUGGGCUUCUGUUUAGAACUGCUUGACCUUUAAAACUUCUAGCCAGCGAAGGCAAGGAAAAAACAGCAGAGACCAGCCAAGAGCAUGGGACUGGUUCUGAGAUGCGAGUACUCACUCCUUUUCUCUGGGCCUCAGAAUUCUCAUUAAUGAAGUUAGAACAGAUCAUCUUUCUUGGAUCUUAAAAAGCCCCCAAACUCAUGGUCCCUUCUAAUCAUGAACAACACAGCCGACACCAUUUUGUGAGAGGGCAUAACCCCCUUUGAAAUUACUCCUGGAAUCACAACGAGGCCUUCCUUCUGUCUUGUCUCAUCAAGAGACAAGGUGACACACCCCUGAAACCAGAAAGCGCACUGCUCAUCAGAUAAUAGCAGAACUAUAAAAAUGUUCAGAAGCAGACAUUUAGGAGGUUCUUUUAAUGCCUAAUAAUUACAUGAAACAUGACAAAGACAGACAUAAAAGCUGUUAACAAGUCAAAGGAGACUUUUAAAUCUUUUGUGAUGUGAAACGUGGAAAAUCUUUUGCUUUUUGUCAAAACUUUAGGUUGAACAUUUCCCCCCCAUAAAAGGUACAUCACACUUUAUUUGUACAUACUUUAGAUGUUGGGAUUCAUAGGUUUCCUGCAAUCCGUGGGCACUUGAGUGUUGAUAUCUUGUGGCUGAACUUGGGCUCGCAGGUGAGAGGUCACGACAGUAUUGCAGAGGUGUCCUAGGCGCUGCUCCUGACUUGCAGAUACUCUUACCUCCACAUUUGCAUUUUCUACUCUGUUUAACAACUGGCUUCAACAUUCUCUGUGAAGGGUGUAAUAGCUUCCACAAGAUGGCUAAAGUUCAUCUUCCAUUACUAAAAUUUAUUAUGGCUUUUACUUUAGUAAACAACUUGUAAAGUUUCCACUAAGCUCAAAGAUGAAAGACUCUACCUACAGCAAUUAGCAUUUUGACGGUAAUAAUGCCUGAAAAAUAGUUCCAUCCUCUUCCCAUAGUGUACUGCCAAGUAAGUGUUUGACUAAAAAACAAAUGAGGCCUAAUACCCAUCUAAACUUCAGUGAAGGCAUACAGUAUAUGGCAGUUGAAGGCUGGCUUAACUAAUACUGAUCAUCUGACUCUUUAGUUCUACCCCUGCAGAGACUGAUCAAAAACCGAUGAUCCUAGACCAUACUGAGACGUGCCUUCACUAGAUAAAGAUUUACCAUUCUGACUUUUCUCUGCAUUUUGCAACUUUUUUAAAUUCUGAGGAAAUGUUCUAUAUAAAGAUCCUCUUUCUUUAGUUGAAGAGAAAACUAGCCUCUGCAGAUAAGUUUGGGUUCUCGACUGUGAAAAACAAAAACUAUUUCAUUCGUUUUAGCAGCCUCAACAUUUAGAACCAAAUUUGUUGUCCAAGCUUCACUUGCUAUGUGGAGUUGCCUGAAGCUACGUAGUUCUGUGCUGUUUUAAUGUUAAAUGUCUUCUCUAAAGGCUCUAUUUUGUAGGCCUCUUCAUGCCCUUUUAAAAGAAUAUAGAAUACAAAUUUCAAAAACAAAAAUAUAGUUACAAGUGAUUAUAGUUAAUGUAGUUAAGCAUACUGUAUUAGUUUCUACUAUAAUGUAGGUGUUAAAGAUGGAUUUAACAGCUGUUUUUAUAACGGAUAUAAUUUUACAUAGAAAAUAUGCUAUU